rnacentral:rRNA from 1 species
GGGUUGUGAGGUUAAGCGACUAAGCGUACACGGUGGAUGCCCUGGCAGUCAGAGGCGAUGAAGGACGUGCUAAUCUGCGAAAAGCGUCGGUAAGGUGAUAUGAACCGUUAUAACCGGCGAUGUCCGAAUGGGGAAACCCAGUGUGAUUCGUCACACUAUCGUUAACUGAAUACAUAGGUUAACGAGGCGAACCGGGGGAACUGAAACAUCUAAGUACCCCGAGGAAAAGAAAUCAACCGAGAUUCCCCCAGUAGCGGCGAGCGAACGGGGAGCAGCCCAGAGUCUGAAUCAGCUUGUGUGUUAGUGGAACGGUCUGGAAAGUCCGACGGUACAGGGUGAUAGUCCCGUACACCAAAAUGCACAGGCUGUGAACUCGAAGAGUAGGGCGGGACACGUGGUAUCCUGUCUGAAUAUGGGGGGACCAUCCUCCAAGGCUAAAUACUCCUGACUGACCGAUAGUGAACCAGUACCGUGAGGGAAAGGCGAAAAGAACCCCGGCGAGGGGAGUGAAAAAGAACCUGAAACCGUGUACGUACAAGCAGUGGGAGCACCUUCGGGUGUGACUGCGUACCUUUUGUAUAAUGGGUCAGCGACUUAUAUUCUGUAGCAAGGUUAACCGUAUAGGGAGCCGCAGGGAAACCGAGUCUUAACUGGGCGUUAAGUUGCAGGGUAUAGACCCGAAACCCGGUGAUCUAGCCAUGGGCAGGUUGAAGGUUGGGUAACACUAACUGGAGGACCGAACCGACUAAUGUUGAAAAAUUAGCGGAUGACUUGUGGCUGGGGGUGAAAGGCCAAUCAAACCGGGAGAUAGCUGGUUCUCCCGAAAGCUAUUUAGGUAGCGCCUCGUGAACUCAUCUUCGGGGGUAGAGCACUGUUUCGGCUAGGGGGUCAUCCCGACUUACCAACCCGAUGCAAACUACGAAUACCGAAGAAUGUUAUCACGGGAGACACACGGCGGGUGCUAACGUCCGUCGUGAAGAGGGAAACAACCCAGACCGCCAGCUAAGGUCCCAAAGUCAUGGUUAAGUGGGAAACGAUGUGGGAAGGCACAGACAGCCAGGAUGUUGGCUUAGAAGCAGCCAUCAUUUAAAGAAAGCGUAAUAGCUCACUGGUCGAGUCGGCCUGCGCGGAAGAUGUAACGGGGCUAAACCAUGCACCGAAGCUGCGGCAGCGACACUAUGUGUUGUUGGGUAGGGGAGCGUUCUGUAAGCCUGCGAAGGUGACCUGUGAGGGUUGCUGGAGGUAUCAGAAGUGCGAAUGCUGACAUAAGUAACGAUAAAGCGGGUGAAAAGCCCGCUCGCCGGAAGACCAAGGGUUCCUGUCCAACGUUAAUCGGGGCAGGGUGAGUCGACCCUAAGGCGAGGCCGAAAGGCGUAGUCGAUGGGAAACAGGUUAAUAUUCCUGUACUUGGUGUUACUGCGAAGGGGGGACGGAGAAGGCUAUGUUAGCCGGGCGACGGUUGUCCCGGUUUAAGCAUGUAGGCUGGUUGUCCAGGCAAAUCCGGAUAAUCAAGGCUGAGGUGUGAUGACGAGGCACUACGGUGCUGAAGUAACAAAUGCCCUGCUUCCAGGAAAAGCCUCUAAGCAUCAGGUAACAUCAAAUCGUACCCCAAACCGACACAGGUGGUCAGGUAGAGAAUACCAAGGCGCUUGAGAGAACUCGGGUGAAGGAACUAGGCAAAAUGGUGCCGUAACUUCGGGAGAAGGCACGCUGGUGUGUAGGUGAAGCCCCUGCGGGUGGAGCUGAGACCAGUCGAAGAUACCAGCUGGCUGCAACUGUUUAUUAAAAACACAGCACUGUGCAAACACGAAAGUGGACGUAUACGGUGUGACGCCUGCCCGGUGCCGGAAGGUUAAUUGAUGGGGUUAUCCGUAAGGAGAAGCUCUUGAUCGAAGCCCCGGUAAACGGCGGCCGUAACUAUAACGGUCCUAAGGUAGCGAAAUUCCUUGUCGGGUAAGUUCCGACCUGCACGAAUGGCGUAAUGAUGGCGGGCUGUCUCCACCCGAGACUCAGUGAAAUUGAACUCGCUGUGAAGAUGCAGUGUACCCGCGGCAAGACGGAAAGACCCCGUGAACCUUUACUAUAGCUUGACACUGAACAUUGAGCCUUGAUGUGUAGGAUAGGUGGGAGGCUUUGAAGCGUGGACGCCAGUCUGCGUGGAGCCAACCUUGAAAUACCACCCUUUAAUGUUUGAUGUUCUAACGUUGGCCCCUGACCGGGGUUGCGGACAGUGUCUGGUGGGUAGUUUGACUGGGGCGGUCUCCUCCCAAAGCGUAACGGAGGAGCACGAAGGUUAGCUAAUCCUGGUCGGACAUCAGGAGGUUAGUGCAAUGGCAUAAGCUAGCUUGACUGCGAGCGUGACGGCGCGAGCAGGUGCGAAAGCAGGUCAUAGUGAUCCGGUGGUUCUGAAUGGAAGGGCCAUCGCUCAACGGAUAAAAGGUACUCCGGGGAUAACAGGCUGAUACCGCCCAAGAGUUCAUAUCGACGGCGGUGUUUGGCACCUCGAUGUCGGCUCAUCACAUCCUGGGGCUGAAGUAGGUCCCAAGGGUAUGGCUGUUCGCCAUUUAAAGUGGUACGCGAGCUGGGUUUAGAACGUCGUGAGACAGUUCGGUCCCUAUCUGCCGUGGGCGCUGGAGAAUUGAGGGGGGCUGCUCCUAGUACGAGAGGACCGGAGUGGACGCAUCACUGGUGUUCGGGUUGUCAUGCCAAUGGCACUGCCCGGUAGCUAAAUGCGGAAGAGAUAAGUGCUGAAAGCAUCUAAGCACGAAACUUGCCCCGAGAUGAGUUCUCCCUGAGACUUUAAGUCUCCUGAAGGAACGUUGAAGACGAUGACGUUGAUAGGCCGGGUGUGUAAGCGCAGCGAUGCGUUGAGCUAACCGGUACUAAUGAACCGUGAGGCUUAACCUUACAACGCCGAAG